ensembl:lncRNA
CAAAGAUCAAAAUACAUUUGUGUUACCAUUUUGCUUUAUCGCAACUGCUUUGUAUUUACUAUAAAAUAGCUAUGAAGAACUGCUGUAUGUAUUGGAAUAGCAAACUGUGCUGCAAAUGUAUUUUACUUAGUAAUCCUUGCUUUAAAAAGUCAUACAUGCGGACAUCUGUGUGAGAUGGGUGAGGGCAGGGUGUGGGAUUAUCCCCGAUUUUGGAUUUUAAACUGUAAAAUAGAAAAAACAGACUUUUCUCUGUUAUCAUUGACCUAGACAUUUUGUACAGAUUUUUUUCUUCGUUGUGUUAAGCUGUUUUUGAUACUUCCUUUUGAUGGUCCGACCUCUGCCUUCUGUGGCUAUAUAGUUAAAAUGACUGCUCAGAGAAAGGGCAGACAGGUAUAUUUCCUCUACAAGACAGAGGUAUCUUGCAUGACUAAUUCCAUGGUCACAGAGAUGGGAAAUAAUGGUUAAGUGGUCAGUAAUAAUAUAUGAGUGUAUCAAUCCAAUGAUAUUUUAUAUGAAACAAAUAGGACAAAAAAAAGAAAAUAUGCAGUGCCAAGAUGUAAAAAAAAAUAUUUGUUAAAUGCUUUGUUUUUAUUCCAGAGGAAUCAAUUCAUUUAUACAUAUAUCACCAGAGAUGUCAUCGUCAUCAUCAGUUCAUUACCAUUAGGCACAAUGCCUAGCGCUUUUCAGUUGUCCUCUAAAUAUCUAUAUUUCUUAUCUCAACUGUUUGGAAAUUUGUUAAUUUUUUGAUGAUAAGUACAUGUAAAGCCAAGCACAGCAGGUAGCCAUCUUAAGUGGAGCACAAAGGUUAAAAGUCAGAUGUGAAUCAAACUGAACUCAUACUUGUUACAUGAUUGUUAACCGUGAGAUAUCAACCUGAAUCGAGUAACCUUCUGACCUUGCUGUGCUCCUUGUAGGCGGCAUCAGUUUCCCCCUCAAGACACUUGCGGCCAUGCUAAUUUGCCACGAAUCCAUCAGUCAUCCACCCCACUCUCAUUCACCACUGGGUUUUACCGUCACCCUCUCCACCCAUGCUUCUGGCAGAGGGAGCGAGGGAUGGAGGGAGGGAGGGAGGGAUGGACUGAGGGAGGGACAGCAGAGCAGCUGUCACGGUGCUUUGUUUCAGCAGCUAGGUUCGUUUUCUGUUGAAGCGGUAGUCUGUAGGUUUCUGUUCAUGAACUAAAUGAUCAUCACCGCCAUGAUCACGCUGUAGUGUCCUCAUCAUUCCUGGUCUAGCUGAAGCGGACUAUUCUGUUGUACGGUCAGUCUCCAUAACUGACGUGAGCAUUCUGAAAAUGCAAUAAAAUGCUGGUUGUUCAUGUGCGUUUCCUGAAGUCAUUUGUUACUUGGUUUAAAUUGCAGGGAUCUGGUUACGAAAACCACUGGAAUUGUAUCUGUCUGAGUCAACCAAGAUGGGACAACAAAAGGCC